rnacentral:rRNA from 1 species
GUGGGGAAUUUUGGACAAUGGGCGCAAGCCUGAUCCAGCAAUGCCGCGUGUGUGAAGAAGGCCUUCGGGUUGUAAAGCACUUUUGUCCGGAAAGAAAUCUCCUGGGUUAAUACCUCGGGGGGAUGACGGUACCGGAAGAAUAAGCACCGGCUAACUACGUGCCAGCAGCCGCGGUAAUACGUAGGGUGCGAGCGUUAAUCGGAAUUACUGGGCGUAAAGCGUGCGCAGGCGGCUAUGCAAGACAGAUGUGAAAUCCCCGGGCUCAACCUGGGAACUGCAUUUGUGACUGAAUGGCUAGAGUGCGUCAGAGGGAGGUGGAAUUCCGCGUGUAGCAGUGAAAUGCGUAGAGAUGCGGAGGAACACCGAUGGCGAAGGCAGCCUCCUGGGAUGACACUGACGCUCAUGCACGAAAGCGUGGGGAGCAAACAGGAUUAGAAACCCUUGUAGUCC